CAAGGAUGGGACCAAUCCCUUCUUUAGAGAGCUGAUGGAAGGAAUACCUCCCUUUUAGGGCAUUCCUUUACUCCUCUCUUGCUACACAAAACAUGAUUUCAAGUGGGAAAAUCCCCAUAACUCCAUUUCCAGAAGAAAAAGAAGCAUGUUUACAUGUUAUGAUGAUAAGGUAGGGUCAACACAUACCUGCUAUUCUUAUUUGCAGUGCUGGAGAAUACAUAAGCCAAGACAUGGUGAGAAAUUUUUCUACCACCACAGGUCAAAAAGCACAAGGUAUUACAAGAAUAUUGCUGCUAAACAAAAAUAAUUGUAUUUUUUCCUGGUAAUCCUACAUAACAGAAUUGCUCCUGAAAAUUUACUAGAACCACAUGAAGGAGUAUGUAUGUAGCAAACACAACAUGUUGCACUGUGUCAACACUUCUGGGGAAACAGGGACUGGGGGAGAAAGAAUCAGCCUGAAGCCCACUGGUUGCAGCAUGUAAUAAAGGAAGGCAAGUCUAUAUGAUUUGUUCAGCUGGUUACCUACGGGGAUGGAUUUCUUCACUUUGAGGAAUAACACAAGGAUGCCUGAUAAUGUUACUACAUAUCUUUCUAACAUUUUGUCUUCUAGUGUUCUGCUUUCUAUCUUUCUAACUUCUGUAAAUCCAUGAACAAAACCUUUGCCAAUGCUAUCUUUGCCCAGCCAUUUGCAUUAACUACCUAUGCUUUUGCAGAAUAAGAAAAACUUAAAGCAAAUAGCAACAAUAAAUGUUGGCAUAAAUGUGGGGGAAAAGAUACAGUCUUAAUGUACUCAUGAUGGGACCAUUAUUGAUACAUUUAUAUGGCACUGAAUUGGUCUAGUUUGUCAGAAGUUUCAGGAACACUUAAAUAUGAUUCCUGAUGGAUGUAUCUCAGAGUAUUCUGAAAGUUCCUGCUACUGGUUACUGUUUUACAAUUUUUUAGGUCCUUAUUAUAUCUUCAGCCUACUAAUUUAUCAAUUGUUGAGAGAAGAUUGUUGACACUUCAAAUAUUUGUAGCUCAUUCUUUCAUGCACCAAAUAACAGAAGUUCAAGUACACAAAGCCAAGGUAAAAAUAAAGAAAUUAAUAAAAAAUAUUUUUUAUUAGAACAAAACAAUUAUGUGUCUCCAUAAUAACUUGAUUUUUAUAUUAUUCUAAUUGGCAUACUGAAUUAUCCUCUUCAUGUAAAAUAAUUAUUCAGAAAGCCUUUGGUCUGAUAUUAACAUAGCUCUCCAUGUCAAGUAUAACUAGUUACCUUAUGGUUGGUGUUAGCAUGGUGUACAUAACUAUAAAUAUUUUUAGUUAUAUAUGUAUAAAGUUAAAAUAUGUAUUUUAACUUUAGACAUUUUGUUAAAUUUAAUUUGGUUUUUAACUUACAUAUAAAUAUAAACAUUGCACAUAUUAAUGGAGUACCAUGUGAUAUUUACUUGCAGAUAUAUACUGUACACCAAUUUAAUUGGGGUUAAAUAUGUUUCAUUUCUUCAUGAUGAAAAUAUUCUACAUCCUUCCACUUUUUUUGAAAUACAUAGCAUAUUAUUAUUAUAUUUGUCACAAUAGCACACCAGAACUUAAAGUUUAAAGUGAGUUUCUUGUCAGCUUAUAGUUCUCUUUAUUUUUAUCCAAUCUGGUAUUAUCUGCUUUGUAAAUAAGGGAUUUAGACUGCUUAAAUUUAUUAAGACUCUUGAAACAAUUAGGCUUCAAUUUAACAUCUUGAUAUGUCCUAUCAUUAUUUUGCCUUGAUCUUUCAUAGAUUUUAUAUUUUGCAGGAAGUUUUGAAGAAAGAAUCUUGAUGAUUUCUAAUUUUUUGAUGGUUAUAGAUUUGUAGAACAGUACAAUAAUUAAGGGAGUGUCAAUCUACUUUGUUUCUCCUGAUGGUGAAAUCAUUGAAUAAAUAAGAGCUCAAAUGGGAGGAAAAAUAGUUGGAAUGAUAAGGAACAGGUAGACAUAAGCACUGAAAAUACAGAGAUUAAGGCAUUAAUUGCAAAGACCCUGCUUAUGUGCUAGCCCUCAACAUGUUUUUAAGGAAACCAUUACACAAAGUCACACUAACUGCUCUGACUUAAUUAUGAAAAUAAUCUGCAACAUUAUCCCUAGGGCUAAAAGGUGUCUAUUCAAAAUGACUCCUUUGAUAAGAGGAAGACAGAGUGCCCUGGCCUAAGACUACUAUAAAAUAUAUAUUUUUAAAAAUUCCAGUUGCCUUUAGGUCUGUGGCACAUGAUAUGAUCUUAGUGUAAUUAUAAAUUUUCACCCACAUGGAUUUCAUUAGACACUCAUUAGUAAACAUAUGCAACAGGGAUUUAGAAAUCUGAUAUAAGCCAACUGUCAAUCAAAAGCUAGGAGAUGAUUCUCAUGUGGGACCCUUUAGAAACUUCCCCCCAAAAUCCCCAUAAAAGCUGGGACACAAGAAGUAGGUUCUUUAUCUCCUCUAAAAUACAACCUCUCUCUCCCUUGAGAGUGUCUUUUCCCCCUUCCUUCUCUUCUAACACACUUUGCUAUACUUUUACAAUGCCUUAUGUCUUACUUGACAUCUUUUACAAAGACACAAGGUUCAAGAAAUCCGCACAACUUUUCAGUCAAUAAGAACUAUAUGUGAAGACAGGAAAGUAUAAUUUAUAAAAGUUAGAUACAAUUACCACCUCCUCUCCUCACACACACCCUAAUACACAAUAAAAUCAUAUCCCUACUUAUUGGGAAGACUUAUUCUUUUCUCUCGGGUUUGAACUUACCUCGCUCCAAAUUUUAAAUGGCCAUGUUUUUUUCCUGGGAGUGCAUGAAGCC
rnacentral:lncRNA from 1 species